GCCUUAUCAAGAGAGGUGGAGGGACAGGCCCUAUGAAACCCGGCAACAGCCAGCGUUUGCUGGAAAUGUGCUAAUUCCUACAGAAUUUUUUUCUGGACGAUGAGGU
rnacentral:ncRNA from 2 species